AGAGCGAACGCUGGCGGCAGGCUUAACACAUGCAAGUCGAGCGGGCGUAGCAAUACGUCAGCGGCAGACGGGUGAGUAACGCGUGGGAACAUACCUUUUGGUUCGGAACAACACAGGGAAACUUGUGCUAAUACCGGAUAAGCCCUUACGGGGAAAGAUUUAUCGCCGAAAGAUUGGCCCGCGUCUGAUUAGCUAGUUGGUGAGGUAACGGCUCACCAAGGCGACGAUCAGUAGCUGGUCUGAGAGGAUGAUCAGCCACAUUGGGACUGAGACACGGCCCAAACUCCUACGGGAGGCAGCAGUGGGGAAUAUUGGACAAUGGGCGCAAGCCUGAUCCAGCCAUGCCGCGUGAGUGAUGAAGGCCCUAGGGUUGUAAAGCUCUUUUAGUAGGGAAGAAGCGAAAGUGACGGUACCUGCAGAAAAGCACCGGCUAACUACGUGCCAGCAGCCGC
rnacentral:rRNA from 1 species